GCGCUGUUAGCUCAGUUGGUUUAGAGCGCUUGUCUUACAAACAAGAGGUCGGGGGUUCGAGGCCCUCACGGCGCACCA
rnacentral:tRNA from 1 species